AGGAGUGUAGCUCAGUUGGUAGAGCAUCGGUCUCCAAAACCGAGUGCCGGGGGUUCGAGUCCCUCCUCUCCUGCCA
rnacentral:tRNA from 2 species